rnacentral:misc_RNA from 1 species
UUUCCGUAGGUGUACCUGCGGAAGGAUCAUUAUUGUAACCGAGGUGCGAGGGCUGUCGCUGACCCGAAAGGUCGUGCACGCCCGAGUGCCCUCACACACAUCCAUCUCACCCCUAUGUGCACCACCGCGUGGGUCCCCCUUUGGCUUGUUCGGAGGGGGGCUUACGUUUUCACACAAACUUUGUAUGCAGUGUAGAAUGUAUUUUUUGUUUUUGCGAUCACGCAAUCAAUACAACUUUCAACAACGGAUCUCUUGGCUCUC